UACGUAGGGUGCAAGCGUUGUCCGGAAUUAUUGGGCGUAAAGAGCUCGUAGGCGGUUUGUUGCGUCGGCUGUGAAAUCCCGAGGCUCAACCUCGGGUCUGCAGUCAAUACGAGCAAACUAGAGUGUUGCAGGGGAGACUGGAAUUCCUGGUGUAGCGGUGAAAUGCGCAGAUAUCAGGAGGAACACCGGUGGCGAAGGCGGGUCUCUGGGCAACAACUGACGCUGAGGAGCGAAAGCGUGGGGAGCAAACAGG
rnacentral:rRNA from 1 species